ACCCUUUGCAAACUCCGAAUACCAGUAAGUACUAUCCGGGAGACACACGGCGGGUGCUAACGUCCGUCGUGGAGAGGGAAACAACCCAGACCGCCAGCUAAGGUCCCAAAUUACUACUAAGUGGGAAACGAUGUGGGAAGGCUCAGACAGCCAGGAUGUUGGCUUAGAAGCAGCCAUCAUUUAAAGAAAGCGUAAUAGCUCACUGGUCGAGUCGGCCUGCGCGGAAGAUGUAACGGGGCUAAGUAGUAAACCGAAGCUGCGGCAAUGCACUUUAGUGCAUUGGGUAGGGGAGCGUUCUGUAAGCGGUUGAAGGUGUGUGGUAACGCAUGCUGGACGUAUCAGAAGUGCGAAUGCUGACAUGAGUAACGAUAAAGGGGGUGAAAAACCUCCUCGCCGGAAGACCAAGGGUUCCUGUCCAACGUUAAUCGGGGCAGGGUAAGUCGACCCCUAAGGCGAGGCCGAAAGGCGUAGUCGAUGGGAAACGGGUUAAUAUUCCCGUACUUCUUACAAUUGCGAUGGGGGGACGGAGAAGGCUAGGUGGGCCUGGCGACGGUUGUCCAGGUUCAAGUGCGUAGGCUGAAGAGUUAGGUAAAUCCGGCUCUUCUUAAGGCUGAGACACGACGUCGAGCUACUACGGUAGUGAAGUCAUUGAUGCCAUGCUUCCAGGAAAAGCCUCUAAGCUUCAGAUUGUAAGGAAUCGUACCCCAAACCGACACAGGUGGUCGGGUAGAGAAUACCAAGGCGCUUGAGAGAACUCGGGUGAAGGAACUAGGCAAAAUGGUACCGUAACUUCGGGAGAAGGUACGCUCUUGAUGGUGAAGUCCCUCGCGGAUGGAGCUGACGAGAGUCGCAGAUACCAGGUGGCUGCAACUGUUUAUUAAAAACACAGCACUGUGCAAAAUCGUAAGAUGACGUAUACGGUGUGACGCCUGCCCGGUGCCGGAAGGUUAAUUGAUGGGGUUAGACUUCGGUCGAAGCUCUUGAUCGAAGCCCCGGUAAACGGCGGCCGUAACUAUAACGGUCCUAAGGUAGCGAAAUUCCUUGUCGGGUAAGUUCCGACCUGCACGAAUGGCGUAAUGAUGGCCACGCUGUCUCCACCCGAGACUCAGUGAAAUUGAAAUCGCUGUGAAGAUGCAGUGUACCCGCGGCUAGACGGAAAGACCCCGUGAACCUUUACUACAGCUUGGCACUGAACAUUGACCCUACAUGUGUAGGAUAGGUGGGAGGCUUUGAAGCAAGUACGCCAGUAUUUGUGGAGCCGUCCUUGAAAUACCACCCUUGUAGUGUUGAUGUUCUAACGUCGACCCCUUAUCGGGGUUGCGGACAGUGCCUGGUGGGUAGUUUGACUGGGGCGGUCUCCUCCCAAAGAGUAACGGAGGAGCACGAAGGUGGGCUAAUCACGGUUGGACAUCGUGAGGUUAGUGCAAUGGCAUAAGCCCGCUUGACUGCGAGAAUGACAAUUCGAGCAGGUGCGAAAGCAGGUCAUAGUGAUCCGGUGGUUCUGAAUGGAAGGGCCAUCGCUCAACGGAUAAAAGGUACUCCGGGGAUAACAGGCUGAUACCGCCCAAGAGUUCAUAUCGACGGCGGUGUUUGGCACCUCGAUGUCGGCUCAUCACAUCCUGGGGCUGAAGUCGGUCCCAAGGGUAUGGCUGUUCGCCAUUUAAAGUGGUACGCGAGCUGGGUUUAGAACGUCGUGAGACAGUUCUAUCCCUGUGUGCCUGGGCGUUGGAAGAUUGAAGGGGGCUGCUCCUAGUACGAGAGGACCGGAGUGGACGAACCUCUGGUGUUCGGGUUGUGUCGCCAGACGCAUUGCCCGGUAGCUAAGUUCGGAAUCGAUAACCGCUGAAAGCAUCUAAGCGGGAAGCGAGCCCUGAGAUGAGUCUUCCCUGAUACUUUAAGUAUCCUAAAGGGUUGUUCGAGACUAGAACGUUGAUAGGCAGGGUGUGUAAGCGUUGUGAGGCGUUGAGCUAACCUGUACUAAUUGCCCGUGAGGCUUAACC
rnacentral:rRNA from 1 species